ACAACACAUACAAUCAGUGGACUUCUGGGGCUUCACGAGCAGUGGUGAGACCAACAGAACUCAAAGACUGCACAUCAUCUUGACAGUCUGAGGAUAAAUGCCCUCUGUAAUUAAUUAGGCAUUGCAACAUCUGAGGUUAGCACUGCUUGUAUCUACAGAGAAACAGCUGUGCAAAUAGUAACCUUCAGCAACACAUUUGUAAUAUGGACCUGUGGCAUCUCAGUACCUCCCCUAGAGCUCUCCCAUCAAGUUGAAAAAGGAAGAAAGCCUGAACCUUGCAGAUGUCAGCAUGCAAGAACUUAUUAAAAAGGAUCAAUUGCCCUUUUGAAUCUUUUGGAUUUGAGUCUGAGAGAAAAGAUGGCCAUUGAUUGAAAUACUAGCUUAGUACUUGGGAGACUUAAGUUCAAUUCUGCUUUGCCACAGACUUCCAACAUGACCUUAGGCAAGUCAUCUAGUCUCUGUGCUUCCAUUCCUCUAUCUGCAAAAUGGGGGUAAACAGUACUUCCCUACCUGACAAGAAUGUUAUGAGCUGCUCAGAUACCUCAGUAAGGGAAAACAAAAUUGCCACAAAAUGAUUUGUCUAAGACAAAUGAGCAGAGACAACAAACAUACUGUGGCACUUUCCACCCCUUACUGGGUCUUAUAUGUGGAUAAACAGUAUCAGCAUAGAUGUUUGUGCUCUGUUAAUUGCCACAGAAAGAUCACACAUCAAAGUCAUCUCCAUACCAUAUCUUGGUUUGAACCCCAAUAGCAAUUGCAACAAUUCUGGAGUUUGUUUCCUACCACACUCUUGAUAACUUUGCCCAGGCAUGAGAGGUUGAAGAUGGAGUGAUUGCUCCAGAGAUAGCUGACCUCAAAUACAGGUUUCUUUGAGCGCUUGCUAGAUUAUUACUGCUUCAGGGCAGUUGGUAGAUCCCUUUCUUUGACAGAGGUCUCUACCAGCUUUCUGCAGCUUAAAAGACAGGGGCCUGCUUUACAUGUUCAGAACCUUUUACUGCUUUUAGGGCCUUCAUUUGAGAGACUGGGAUUGUCAUGAUCAUGAGGGUUAGCCAGCAGCCUGGUGAUUAAGGGGUUAACUAUGUCCCUUACCUAAGCCAGGUAGAGUCGGCCAAUAGGAAUGUAAGUAGGAAUCUCAAACUGGGACAAAGGAAUUUUUAGGUUUUCUCUCCUUUGUCUCUGGGCAGUUUCUUUCCAGCUACUGAAGGGGACAGAUACUAUGGCUAUGUCUAGACUACAUGACUCCGUCGACGGAGCCAUUUAAAAUAGUUUA